GAAUGCAGACUGGAUUUUUGCCUGACUACGGUGCUCAGCCUUCUAGACAAUAGUUAUGCUAAGGGAUUAUCUUUUAACAUUGUGCAGUUAUCUCCUUUGUUUGUUUUCUUUUUUCAUUAUUCACAUAAGCCAAGGGAAAUGAAAAGCAUCUUAUUUCAGGCAAAAAGGCCUGUGAAUGAUUAACUCUGGUUCCAUGCGUUGGGACUUUGCAUAGCAACCCCGUGGCUUGCAACGACAAAAAAGCUCAAGGCAGGAACAGCAGCCCAGGGACCUGAGACCAGCGUUCUCAAAUGAAGCCAGAUCUGCUGUUAGAGGAGAAUUCUUCUGUCCUAGCUGUGUCUCUGUGAUCUGUGGAUGAGGGUGGGAAAGCACCACUCAGUCAAUUGGGGUGUACAAAAUGGAGUUUGAGAAGGUCUCACAUCCAGGUUGUUUUGAAGCAAAGUCCAAGCAUUGUAUCACUUCAUCUGCAAAUAUUUCAAUAAGUACCCAAAAGGUCCAGAUUGACUGCAAGAACAAAUCAGCAAUCCUGAGAGGACCCACAGGCCCUCUGAAGGAAGCAGACUACUCCUGCAGGACCUGGGAGAUACCCUGAAUACUUGGUUGGACUGAGUCCCAUGAAGCCAGAUCACUUCUGACUGCAAGGAGCUUGGAAAAGCAAGUAUCUGGAUCUUUUACCAGCUAAAUUUGGAGCGAUGAGGCUUCCUCUUUGAAGAUCACAGGUGAGAAGAUUAGGUGCUUUCUCAGAAGCCCAGCAACCUGAUGGGAGUGUGGAGUGAGCAAGACCCAAAUCGGAGCUUCAUCCCUGCAUGGUUCAUUUUGCUUAUUUGGCAAACUUGCCCUGCAGAAUCUACUCAAGCUUCCUCAGUUUCUCAAAUCAUUCUUGGGCAACAAAUGAACAAGAAAGAGGACGUCUUAUUAUCUGGUGUCUGGCUUGCUGAUUUAAUAACCUAGGAGACAGUGUUUGAAGAACACAAACUCUAAAGUCCUUCACUUAAAAAAAAAAAAAAACUUUCCCAAAUUGCUUACCAUUUGGAAAAAUUGCCUUACCUUCUUCAGUCAUCUCUGAUGUUGUCAUCCUCAGAGUAAGAAGUACGCAUUCAUAAGGAACCAUAACGUCCUUCAGGAAAUCCAGUACACCCUACAAUUUUACCUAAAACUUUGAUGUUGUUUUUUCUGAGCAUUUUACCUUCUAGGGAAAUGGAUCUCAUGCUGUUUAUCAGUUUCUGAAAGUUGUUAUUAAUCUCCCCUCAUCCCAAAAUUGAAGAACUUUGCUUAAAUCUUAGAAUCAGAACUUUGGCUCCAGUAAUAAAGACUUUUCAAUAUCUUUAUCUGCCAUUGAGUCUUACCUAACGAAAUAAAGCCUCCAAAGUGGGAAUUUGA
rnacentral:lncRNA from 1 species